AGAGUUUGAUCAUGGCUCAGAAUGAACGCUGGCGGCGUGCUUAACACAUGCAAGUCGAACGAGAAAGGGAUUGCUUGCAAUCCUGAGUAGAGUGGCGCACGGGUGAGUAACACGUAGAUAAUCUACCUUCAAGCCCGGAAUAACUAUUCGAAAGGAUAGCUAAUACCGGAUAAAGUUGAUUGACUUAAGUUGAUUAAUGAAAGAUUGCCUCUUCUUGAAAGCAAUUGUUUGGGGACGAGUUUGCGGACCAUUAGUUAGUUGGUGGGGUAACGGCCUACCAAGACUACGAUGGUUAGCUGGUCUGAGAGGAUGAUCAGCCACACUGGAACCGGUACACGGUCCAGACUCCUACGGGAGGCAGCAGUGAGGAAUUUUGCGCAAUGGGGGAAACCCUGACGCAGCAACGCCGCGUGAGUGAAGAAGGCCCUUGGGUCGUAAAGCUCUGUCGACAGGGAAGAAAUUGUAGUCAUCCAAUAGGUGUCUGCAUUGACG
rnacentral:rRNA from 1 species